rnacentral:rRNA from 1 species
AUACAGAGGGUGCAAGCGUUAAUCGGAUUUACUGGGCGUAAAGCGCGCGUAGGUGGCUAAUUAAGUCAAAUGUGAAAUCCCCGAGCUUAACUUGGGAAUUGCAUUCGAUACUGGUUAGCUAGAGUAUGGGAGAGGAUGGUAGAAUUCCAGGUGUAGCGGUGAAAUGCGUAGAGAUCUGGAGGAAUACCGAUGGCGAAGGCAGCCAACGGGCCUAAUACUGACACUGAGGUGCGAAAGCAUGGGUAGCAAUCAGGAUUAGAUACCCUGGUAGUCCAUGCCGUAAACGAUGUCUACUAGCCGUUGGGGCCCUUGAGGCUUUAGUGGCGCAGCUAACGCGAUAAGUAGACCGCCUGGGGAGUACGGUCGCAAGACUAAAACUCAAAUGAAUUGACGGGG